GUCUCUCUUGAGUGGAUCCUGAGUACGACGGAGCACGUGAAAUUCCGUCGGAAUCUGGGAGGACCAUCUCCUAAGGCUAAAUACUCUCUAGUGACCGAUAGUGAACCAGUACCGUGAGGGAAAGGUGAAAAGCACCCCGGAAGGGGAGUGAAAUAGAACCUGAAACCGUGUGCUUACAAGUAGUCAGAGCCCGUUAAUGGGUGAUGGCGUGCCUUUUGUAGAAUGAACCGGCGAGUUACGAUUUGAUGCAAGGUUAAGCAGUAAAUGUGGAGCCGUAGCGAAAGCGAGUCUGAAUAGGGCGUUUAGUAUUUGGUCGUAGACCCGAAACCAGGUGAUCUACCCUUGGUCAGGUUGAAGUUCAGGUAACACUGAAUGGAGGACCGAACCGACUUACGUUGAAAAGUGAGCGGAUGAACUGAGGGUAGCGGAGAAAUUCCAAUCGAACCUGGAGAUAGCUGGUUCUCUCCGAAAUAGCUUUAGGGCUAGCCUCAAGUGAUGAUUAUUGGAGGUAGAGCACUGUUUGGACGAGGGGCCCCUCUCGGGUUACCGAAUUCAGACAAACUCCGAAUGCCAAUUAAUUUAACUUGGGAGUCAGAACAUGGGUGAUAAGGUCCGUGUUCGAAAGGGAAACAGCCCAGACCACCAGCUAAGGUCCCAAAAUAUAUGUUAAGUGGAAAAGGAUGUGGCGUUGCCCAGACAACUAGGAUGUUGGCUUAGAAGCAGCCAUCAUUUAAAGAGUGCGUAAUAGCUCACUAGUCGAGUGACACUGCGCCGAAAAUGUACCGGGGCUAAACAUAUUACCGAAGCUGUGGAUUGUCCUUUGGACAAUGGUAGGAGAGCGUU
rnacentral:rRNA from 1 species